UUGCUAGUAAUCGCGAAUCAGCAUGUCGCGGUGAAUACGUUCCCGGGCCUUGUACACACCGCCCGUCACACCAUGAGAGUUGGUAACACCCGAAGUCCGUGAGGUAACCGUAAGGAGCCAGCGGCCGAAGGUGGGAUUGAUGAUUGGGGUGAAGUCGUAACAAGGUAGCCGUAGGAGAACCUGCGGCUGGAUCACCUCCUUUCUAGGGAG
rnacentral:rRNA from 1 species